UACGUAGGGGGCAAGCGUUGUCCGGAAUCAUUGGGCGUAAAGAGCGUGUAGGCGGCCCGAUAAGUCCGCUGUGAAAGUCCAGGGCUCAACCCUGGAAUGCCGGUGGAUACUGUCGGGCUCGAAUCCGGAAGAGGUGAGUGGAAUUCCUGGUGUAGCGGUGAAAUGCGCAGAUAUCAGGAGGAACACCGGUGGCGAAGGCGGUUCUCUGGGCCUGUACUGACGCUGAGGAACGAAAGCGUGGGGAGCGAACAGG
rnacentral:rRNA from 1 species